rnacentral:lncRNA from 1 species
GCCUUGGAGUCAGGAUGAAUUUGUCAGUUGGUGAGAAGCUGCCUGUUUGUUCUUUGGUUGUAUGACCUCAUCUAUUUUCUCAGCCCCAUACUUUCGUCUUGCAGUGUUAUCCUGAAGCGCUGAAACUGAGUCUAAGUUGGCUGGCUCUAUAUGGCAUGUGCUUCCACUCUUCCCUUCAGUGCACCGAUCGGAUGAGCUGAUUGAUUGAUUGUUCCAUUCAUCAGUCAUUUUUAGGUAUCUUUUUAAAUUCUUCAGCAUGGCACCUAUAACUUUAAGUAGAAAGAACUAUGUGGAUAGCUGAAUUCCCUAAAAUUGGAAGAAUGAAGAGGAGGUGUGAAAGGAGAGAAAGAGCCCUUUCUUGUGGUAUCUGGCCCUUCUGUGUACCAGGUGAAAAGAGGGUUGACAAUGUGGUAAAACGAAAUUGCCAUCUUUUGUGGUCAGCCAGUGCACUGAGCGUUCGGCCCCUUGAGGUAUUUUUGUGCAGCUUUUCCGAGAAGCAUUGCCUUGUCUCCACUGAACUGAUAACGAUGAAACUUCAAUCCCUAUUGCCUUCAAUCAUUUUCUUAUUGUGCCAGCUCAAUGACUUUUCUUCAAUUCCAGUUUCCUGGCACCGGAUCUGGCAGAGGCUGAAGAAGAAAAUGCCUUUGGUGUGGGUUCCACUGAACUUCACUUUUAAUUCCCUGUUAAUGUACAAUCUGAAGUCUUAUUCAGAGAAAAAUUGUGUUCAUGUUUGUGGCAAAAAGGAAUGCAGAAAAGUGACAGAUGUAAGAUGAGAGAAGAGGCAGCCUUUAAUCAUUUUGUUGUCAAAGCAGCUUUGGAUUGCCCUUUGAAGAAAGUGUUUUCCUCGCUGCUUCUGCAAAACUAGAGACUCAUUCUCUUGCCCUUUGCAGAUUCCUUACCCAGGCGGUUACACUCCACACUGGAUGCAAAACUUCUAAACCCUAGAUUUAAACCCUAUGGAACACUCUGCUUUAUACAUUUACAGUGCAGAAGAAUUGGAUCUCUUUGCCCUGGUGACUCAGUUUACAUAUAAUCCUCAUAGAAAGAAAGGCGACUUUUGGUAAAACCCAGUGACCAAGGAACUUGUUUUCAUUUGCGUUUGGGCCAGCCAUAUUUCACAAGAGAGGCUAAGUGUUAAAGCAUAUGAUGUUUACAAAGUAAAAGCCUAUUUUCCCUUAAUCCCUGCAUGACCAUAAUUAGGCAGGAGAGUUAAUUUUAUGUAAAUCAUGCAUUACUGUAAUUGGGCGCAAGUGAACAUUCAUGUACAUCCUAUUUAAAAGAGAAAUAUAAUGUUAUUAUGUGGAUGCUGGUGCAGUGAAGUCUCAACCCUCUAGGGGGACGUCUGCGACGUCACCGGCUGUUUACAAGACUUCGGUCUGUGAGCUUAAUUACAGGUUGCCCAGAUCGUGCUGUCCUGUGAGGAGCUGAGCCACAUGCCUUCAGAAAGGCUGAGAGGUGGAACACUGGGGCUUCCCUUCCUGUUUUUUUCCCCUAACCUCUGCUUAUGGAGAGGUCAUUUUUCUCUUUCUAUUCAUCUUUUCAAACCUAAACAAUGCUUUCCAAUGGUUUGCUCCGCUUGGCAGUUCUGACCCAUAUUUCCCCAGGCAGACCACAGAUGGAUUUGUCUUCAGUAAGCAGGGGCUGGGCUGCUUCCUUUUUUAGCCUGCCUUUUCUAAGGCUGCUUAGGGCUGCUUUAAGACCCCAGGAUUUUGUUUUGCAAGUGUAACCGGAUCAGAUAGCAUCCAGAAGCCUGCCUGUGUGAUGGCCACAGUG